rnacentral:rRNA from 1 species
UACGAAGGGGGCUAGCGUUGUUCGGAUUUACUGGGCGUAAAGCGCACGUAGGCGGGUUGUUAAGUCAGGGGUGAAAUCCUGGAGCUCAACUCCAGAACUGCCUUUGACACUGGCAACCUAGAGGCUGGAAGAGGUUAGUGGAAUUCUCAGUGUAGAGGUGAAAUUCGUAGAUAUUGGGAAGAACACCAGUGGCGAAGGCGGCUCACUGGCCCGAUACUGACGCUGAGGCACGAAAGCGUGGGGAGCAAACAGG